rnacentral:tRNA from 1 species
UCUUAAGUAGUAUAGUGGUCAGUGCUCAUGCCUGUCAUGCGUGAGACUGAGGUUCAAUUCCUUGUCUGAGAG